rnacentral:lncRNA from 1 species
AGGGAUGACUCCUACUCUGGGACCAUUGACAUUUAGGGAUGUGGCCAUAGAAUCCUCUUGGGAGAAGUGGCCAUGCCUGGAGACUCUACUCAGAGGGGUUUAUGCAGAGAUGUGAUGUUGGAGAACUAAAGGAACUUUAUCUUCCUGGGAAUCUCUCUUUUUGACCUGGGUAGUAUCUCCAUGUUGGAGUAAGGGAAAGAGCCUUGGACUGUAGAGAGGCAAGUGCAAAUAGCAAGAAACUGAAAUGGGUGACAAUGGAUCAAAUGUGUGAUCACAGGUCU